AGCCGUAAUUUUGUAGCAGUAAUAUGUAGCAAACUUUAUAAUAUUGGUAGUAAAAAUUUUUGCUGCUAAAUCUAAUAUUUCUUGUAAUGAUUGAAAAUGUAAAUCAAUUAAACAUCUGCUAAAUCUCAUUUGUGUAGUAAGCCAAGGAUUCCCAUUAAAAAUUCUGGAUUUAUGUAUCAAAAAGAAUAGAGUACCUUGGAAUAGAGCAGCCAUGG
rnacentral:misc_RNA from 1 species